GGCCCGCGGCCGUCCCCGGGCAGCACCCCCGGAGCACCCCCCGCCCGGCAGCCUCCACCGAGCGACAGCAACGCCUCCGACCCGCCACCCAUCGCUGGAUGUCCCUCCACUUUUCCCACCGUAUCAAACAACUUUUACCAGUAAAUAUCGGUUUAUUCCUGAAACCAGAAGCCCUAAACAUACCUUUGUUUAUAAGGUCAGUUGUCAUUUUGUCUCUCUUGUUCCCCACUCCCCCCAGUACAAACUGGCAGGUGAUUGAAAGGUACCGAGUUUUCUUUCUAGUUUUCCUGCUCUGCAACUCUGGAAAUGGAGCCUGCAGGACCUAGAGCCUUCUCUUGGUAAUGUAGACUGAAGUUUACAAAUUAUUAUUUAACACUUUAAAGUCUGCUUUUAAGGACAGCAGUGUUCCCGUCUGCCUGGAACGGGGCUGGUAGAAAUUCCUGCAGAUGCAUGACGUGGUUCACCUCCCCUGAGCUUGUGGGCAGGUGUCUCACAAAGCAUCUUCAGGCUUGGGCUUGGAAAGUAAUUUCUCCAAAAGUAUAUGCUGCAAAAUGGCAUUUUGGUUUUACAGUGAAGAGGAUGGGGGGAGCGGAGGGUGGGAACAGAGUAUGGAUAUGUCUUUUUCUGAUUUUUUUUCAUUUUUCUCUAUAUUCUGCUAGAAAGCAAGGCUUCUGUUUUGAAAAAGAAGCGUAAAGUGGGGAGGAGGGAGAGAAUUUGAACAUUGCCCAUCCUAAAAUAGUUUUAAACUCUUCCUCCGUGGCUGAUAGAAAAGGCAGGUGAAAGGUCUGAUCCUUAAAAGGACAUUGCUAGGUAUUUGAGACUCCAAAAGCAGCUGGUGGUUCUUAAUGACUGCAAUUGAUUUAGGUAAUUUUCAAAAUUUGGUCCAUACCAAGACAAAUCAGCCUGGGAGAGUUGAAGACUCCCUUUUUUUCUAAGAGUUUGCAACCCAAACACAGCAGUGCUAUGCUAAUACUUGUGAAACAGCAAAGCUGGUGGGGAAUAGAAAAUGAAUUGACUACAUGGUCCCAGCCAAAUUUUUUUUCUUUUGAACUAACAAAAUGUGGAAAAAAAAUCAUAAUCAAAACCACUCCAAGCCAAAAAAUGCAACCUCCAUAGAGCAAGCAGAACAGCAUCUCAAAUGCUUGGUUUGGUUUUGUCAUGCAUGGUUGGCAAGAGCAUUUCUGGUAUAGCUGCAACCUAACUAUGUCCCUUUAAGACUAACUUCAUCUCAGUGAAACAAAAGACAAGGUUUUGCACUAUAGAGCAGAUCAAAGCUCCUGCAGCCUUAGUUGGAGUCCAUAAUGACGGGAGUCUUCCAGCUGUACACUCUGAGCUGAAAACUACCUUUCCUCCCCUUUUGCAGCCUGUGUGGUUCUGAUUGCUGGCAGUUCUCUAAUACAACUUUAAUCUGAGCAGUUGAGGCUGGUCCCACCUUGUCUUCAGACGUCUUGCGGAGGACUCCUGUUACCAGUUUGGUACUCAAAAGCUACACCCCACCAUGAGAAGUCACUUAUUUUUUAAAAGGCAGUGAUAGAUUACUGUCUCUAGUUCUAAUGGAAAAAUCACAUUGCAAUGCAACUUUAUAAUAAAUUGUUCAUAUAUUCAUAAUUCCAUGGCAAUCCCAAACCGGAGGACGGAUCUGUUAAAGGUAUAUAUUAGUCUAGAUUUUUUCUUAUUGUAAAUACUGUAAUUUUAUAAUACUGUCAAUAUUUUAUUAACUUAGAAAUAUUUAACAGAGUUCAAUCUAUUGUAGUUUAUUUAUAAGUUUAUGUUGCAGCCAAUAUUGAACUGCAUUCUAAUGUAAGAUUAACUUUCAGCAUGUAAACAUUGAUUUAAUCUAUCAUUGGAAAGAUUAAGAAUAGAGAAAAUUUUCACUCUUAAUCUGUAAUAUUUAUCCCCCAAUUCCCAGUUCAGAAUUUUUAAUGAAAUAGUACAAGAUAUCAAAAGCUCAUGAACUGCAGUUGGGACAUGUCAUUUGAAAACUUGAAUUUUGAAAUGUACCUGACUUUUUUUACCCUGUUCAUAGUGAAUACGAUUGCUUCAGUAUCUAAUCUUUAAAGUACAGAAGUCUUUAUUUUGAGCAAAGGGACACUCUCAGAUUAACAUUAGGUUCUUGUUUUAAGGAAAAAAAAAAAAAAAAAAAAAAGCAAAACUCACCUCCCCAGUGCAUAUGUGUUAAUUGCAUCUCAAUCACAAGGGGAAGACAUUUUUUCUGCUGGUUUGUCUAUGUGGCUCAAAGCAUUCCCGGAGCUGUGCAGCCCAGGUGAGGUGCUGGCUGGCCGUGGGACAGGGGUCCCACUGCUCCAGGAGCAGGCUCGGGGCUGCCUUCACCAGGUGCACAGGCAUGCACUGCAGCCUUGCAGCAGACAGAUUUGGUCCCUGGCACUGGUUAUAACCAUUGUCAAGGUGGAUGAAAGUGUGUAAAAUUUAGCCUUUGUUUGAUUGAAGUUUCUCUUCACAAAUUUGCUUUUUUUUUCACGUAUAUCUCUCCUGAUAGUGUCCCUUUAACAGUACAAAGAUGUUCACUUACUCUAAAAAAUUAUUACAAGUGACUUUGAGACAGAGGAGAACUCAUCUGUAAUAUGUUUGCAACGUAACUUGCAUAAAGAUAUCAAAAAGACAUAAAGGGUUUUCAUGGGAGUUGGUAUUUUUUUGAGUGUAAAAGUUAAUCUUUAUUAGAGAUGUGCCAAUCUAUACUGCUUUAUUGUAGUGUUGUUACACUUAGGCAUUUCAGUUAACUUACGAAUAUAUACUGUAACAGUAUACUUUGUACAGAUUUAUUUAAAAUUUAUUUGAAAACUGAAAUAAAUUAGGCAGAAAAUAAAGAUAUUUAUUUUUCAUUUGACUAUGUAAGAAGGUAUCAUUCUUUUGAUUUUAGUGCACCGGUGUACCAAGCCUUGGAACCACUGUUUUCUUCAGUUCGUAGUAUGCUUUCCAGACACUGUGGAUAUAUGUGUGUGUACUGUUACCCUUCUACGUAAAUGCCAUCAAUGGAGUUCAUUGCUUUUAUACAUCCCAAAGAGAAGCUCUUCACCAUUUAUUUUCUGUUUUCUGAUCGAAAAGGUGUGCGUUUUUGAACAGUGUCGUUACAAGUUCCACCACCCCACUUUCACAUCAGCUUAUGCCAAUGCCAGGAUGGGAGGAUUUGCCUGUGUACCUUCCCCAGUACACCAUAGCCAGCAGUGGCAUCAGCAGGGAGCAGUUCAAAUGUGUGUACUUUGGGCUUUAUGUAAAGCAAACGCAGAACACGAAAAAUCAAGAUGUUAAAUUCAUUAGAAAACAAAUUCCUCAUUGUACAGUAGUAUGGAAAUCUCUAGUCAACCUGCCAUUAAUAAUAGAGUCUUAUUUUCUGAAUGAUCUAUUUAAAAGAACAGCAAGCAUUGUAUUUGCUAGUAAAGCUGAAGUGUUUACAUGGAAUUACUAAAUAAAUUAUUUGAUCUAA